rnacentral:rRNA from 1 species
AAAUUGAAGAGUUUGAUCAUGGCUCAGAUUGAACGCUGGCGGCAGGCCUAACACAUGCAAGUCGAGCGGUAGCACAGAGAGCUUGCUCUCGGGUGACGAGCGGCGGACGGGUGAGUAAUGUCUGGGAAACUGCCUGAUGGAGGGGGAUAACUACUGGAAACGGUAGCUAAUACCGCAUAAUGUCGCAAGACCAAAGUGGGGGACCUUCGGGCCUCAUGCCAUCAGAUGUGCCCAG